rnacentral:tRNA from 1 species
ACCUAGCUGGUUCAGUUGGUAGAACAUGUGACUCUUAAUCUCAGAGUCAUGAGUUCAAGCACCAUGUUGGGCU